rnacentral:rRNA from 1 species
GACGAACGCUGGUGGCGUGCUUAACACAUGCAAGUCGAACGGGAUUUAGUAAACAGCAGCCUCGGUGGAAGAUUACUAAUGAGAGUGGCGAACGGGUGAGUAACGCGUGAGCAACCUGCCUAUGACAGUGGGAUAGCCUCGGGAAACCGGGAUUAAUACCGCAUAAAAUCGUAGAAACACAUGUUUUAACGGUCAAAGAUUUAUCGGUCAUAGAUGGGCUCGCGUCUGAUUAGCUAGUUGGUGAGAUAACAGCCCACCAAGGCGACGAUCAGUAGCCGGUCUGAGAGGAUGAACGGCCACAUUGGAACUGAGACACGGUCCAAACUCCUACGGGAGGCAGCAGUGGGGAAUAUUGCACAAUGGGGGAAACCCUGAUGCAGCGACGCCGCGUGAACGAAGAAGGUAUUCGUAUCGUAAAGUUCUGUCCUAGGGGAAGAUAAUGACAGUACCAUAGAAGAAAGCUCCGGCUAAAUACGU